rnacentral:rRNA from 1 species
AACGAACGCUGGCGGCAGGCUUAACACAUGCAAGUCGAGCGCCCCGCAAGGGGAGCGGCGGACGGGUGAGUAACGCGUGGGAAUCUACCCAUCUCUACGGAAUAACGCAUGGAAACGUGUGCUAAUACCGUAUACGUCCUUCGGGCGAAAGAUUUAUCGGAGAUGGAUGAGCCCGCGUUGGAUUAGCUAGAUGGUGGGGUAAAGGCCUACCAAGGCGACGAUCCAUACCUGGUCUGAGAGAAUGAUCAGCCACACUGGGACUGAGACACGGCCCAGACUCCUACGGGAGGCAGCAGUGGGGAAUAUUGGACAAUGGGCGCAAGCCUGAUCCAGCCAUGCCGCGUGAGUGAUGAAGGCCCUAGGGUUGUAAAGCUCUUUCACCGGUGAAGAUAAUGGCGGUAACCGGAGAAGAAGCCCCGGCUAACUUCGUGCCAGCCGCCGCAGUAACAC